CCUACGGGGGGCUACAGUGAGGAAUAUUGGUCAAUGGGCGCUAGCCUGAACCAGCCAAGUAGCGUGAAGGAUGACUGCCCUAUGGGUUGUAAACUUCUUUUAUAUGGGAAUAAAGUGCAGUAUGUAUACUGCUUUGCAUGUACCUUAUGAAUAAGGAUCGGCUAACUCCGUGCCAGCAGCCGCGGUAAUACGGAGGAUUCGAGCGUUAUCCGGAUUUAUUGGGUUUAAAGGGAGCGUAGGCGGGUUGUUAAGUCAGUUGUGAAAGUUUGCGGCUCAACCGUAAAAUUGCAGUUGAUACUGGCAGCCUUGAGUACAGUAGAGGUAGGCGGAAUUCGUGGUGUAGCGGUGAAAUGCUUAGAUAUCACGAAGAACUCCGAUUGCGAAGGCAGCCUGCUGGACUGUAACUGACGCUGAUGCUCGAAAGUGUGGGUAUCAAACAGGAUUAGAUACCCUUGUAGUC
rnacentral:rRNA from 1 species